UUGGAUCGAGUGAGGCCUCUGGGUCCACCUCCCACCCGCUGUUUAUUUACCUUGUUGCUUCGGCGAGCCUGCCUUUUGGCUGCCGGGGGACGUCAGUCCCCGGGUCCGUGCUCGCCGGAGACACCUUAGAACUCUGUCUGAAGAUUGUAGUCUGAGAUUAAAUAUAAAUUAUUUAAAACUUUCAACAACGGAUCUCUUGGUUCCGGCAUCGAUGAAGAACGCAGCGAAAUGCGAUACGUAAUGUGAAUUGCAGAAUUCAGUGAAUCAUCGAGUCUUUGAACGCACAUUGCGCCCUCUGGUAUUCCGGAGGGCAUGCCUGUCCGAGCGUCAUUGCUGCCCUCAAGCACGGCUUGUGUGUUGGGCCCCGUCCUCCUUCCGGGGGACGGGUCCGAAAGGCAGCGGCGGCACCGCGUCCGGUCCUCAAGCGUAUGGGGCUUUGUCACUCGCUUUGUAGGCCUGGCCGGCGCUUGCCGAUCAACCAAACUUUUUAUCAGGUUGACCUCGGAUCAGGUAGGGAUACCCGCUGAACUUAAGCAUAUCAUAGCCGGAGGAAAA
rnacentral:rRNA from 1 species